AAUGAACGUUGGCGGCGUGGAUUAGGCAUGCAAGUCGUGCGGAAAGGCUCCUUCGGGAGUACUCGAGCGGCGAAAGGGAGAGUAACGCGUGGAUAUCUACCCCCUGGACUGGGAUAGCGGCGGGAAACUGCCGGUAAUACCAGAUAAUGUCUGCGGACCAAAGGUGUGAUUCCGCCGGGGGAUGAGUCCGCGUCCUAUUAGCUAGUUGGUGGGGUAAUGGCCCACCAAGGCAAAGAUGGGUACCGGGUGUGAGAGCAUGGCCCGGCUCACUGGGACAGAGACACUGCCCAGACGCCUACGGGUGGAUGCAGUCGAGAAUCUUCGGCAAUGGGCGCAAGCCUGACCGAGCGACGCCGCGUGCGGGAUGAAGGCCUUCGGGUUGUAAACCGCUGUCAGAGGGGAGGAAAUGCAUGAGGGUUCUCUCUCAUGUUUGACCUAUCCUCAGAGGAAGUACGGGCUAAGUUCGUGCCAGCAGCCGCGGUAACAC
rnacentral:rRNA from 1 species